UCAGGCUUAGACGGUUACAAGCGCGUUUCACUAAGUGAAACGCUGCGUUUCACAUGGGAAAAUUAAAUGGAAUGGCAAAUUAAACUGCAAGCGCAAGGGAUCGAGCGCUGGUCACGAGAGUUACAGAGCGCAUCCAUGGCAAACCCUAGCAACGAACCAGAUGACCGGAACAGUGUUUCCGGUCAUCUUCUCCGGUCAUGCUCCGGCAACAUUCAU
rnacentral:lncRNA from 1 species